UUUGUCACUGAAAGAAAAAGAAAGCAGUCAUUUUUGUUGGUGAAAUUCUCCUGAGAACCUUUCAUUUUUUCUGGAAAUGACCUGGGGCACCUUGCACACAAACAUCGAAACCAAAUAGUCAUAUUAUCACUGUGUUCCUAACCCUAGAGACUUUUAGCAUGGGUGUGGGUUUGCAUAACAGGAAAACUAGCAUUGACCUGGUACAAAUGCUAAAUAAAUGUUUAAAAAAAUUCAAGGAUAAUGCUGCAAUGAUGCAAAGGUGUGUGUGUGUGUUUCUCUAAAUCAUCUAAAUGUAUUUGACAGUGGAUACAAAGUUCAAGGCAAAAAAAAAAGAAGAAAAAAGUUUGCAUAAAUGGAUAGAGAAAAUAGCUCCCUCUUUCAGGGAAUUUGGGGACUCACUGUGUGACAAUGCGUAAGUCACCUAGUCUCCACGUUCUGUCUUCCGCCUUUAAAAUGAGGAUUGGAACACCUCAGAAUGCCUCUACUCAACAAAAGAUAUCUCUAAGAUACGAGAGACUCAUGUAAUGAAGAGCAUCCAUCCUUGGAAGGAAGGAUUUGAGUUAAGGGACUCUAUGAUUCUAUGAUGCUGCUUGAAAAAGUGAAAGCAAACUCAUUCUUAACAGCAAACUAAAAGAGAAACUCAAGGGCCAGCCCAGGUGGCCUAGUGGUUAAGUUUGGCACAUUCUGCUUCAGUGGCCUGGGCCCGGUGCCAAGGUGCAGGCCUAUGCCACUCCUCUGCCAGGGUCCAUGCUGUCGCAGUAGGUCACAUACAAAAGAGGAAGAUUGGCAAUAGAUCUUAGCUCAGGGCAAAUCUUCCUCAGCAAAAAAAAGAGAGAAACUCAAGUUAUACUGGAAAAGGGAGAGUGGAAGCGGGAGGAGUGGGGAGAACACGCUAAUACUGAUCAAGGAAAGUAUUAUGAAUUUUAUGUACUUUUCCUUUUCUUAAGAGAAUUGUUUAACUACAUUCCAGCUUCUGCAGCCUAAUUGACUGUUAACUCGCAUCUCCAGAGACACCUGUGGAGUUGAGACAGUUCAGCAUUCAAAGCACAUUCAGUUGAACGUGAUAAACAGAUAAAACGCCUCACUGUCCUUGUCUCUUUCGUCUUUGAUAGAUGCUCUUCAAACAGAAUAUGUAAAAGAGAAGGAAAAACAUAAUCUAAGCCGCUUUUUCUUUUUGACCUUUGGGAUAUUUUUACUGUAGGAAACAGAAGUUUCUGAAGUUGGUGUACUCUGAUUCGAUUAAACAAAUACUUUCUGCUUGCUCACCAUCAAAAUGAGGAAGCUGCUUGCCCACAAAUUCUCUAAAGGAGGAUUCAGAAGAAAAAGGAAUAGCAGUUAAUCCUUUCCCAGGUCACACCUAGAAUAGGUGUCUGCUAAUAGGGAAGUUAUUUGUGUUUAAAAUAUAAAUAUACAUUUUGAAAUACGUUGAAGGAAUCAUUGAUGAAAGAGUAGAGUCAGAAGUUCAAUCCCAAGUAGACAAUUGUAUUUUUCAAACUGUGUCAGAGGAUCUGAGAGUUUCUAUUAGGUAUUCCCAGAAAAAUAAAAAUAUGAAAGGUGUUCCUUAGUUAAGUAACUCUAGGGAAAGCUGACAACGAAAGUUACAGCCUUGUACGUAACUUUGGAGUAUUUAAUAGGCUAAUGUAUAUUAUGAAUUUCCAAGAGAGAGAGUCUGUAGUAAGCAGCAAUUCUCAAACAUGACAUUUUUGGCAGUACAAAAUAACUCUCCUAUGUUUUAAGAAAAGCAGGUUGGGAAAUACUGGCAUAGCACAAACUUGCAUUUGAAGCUUGGUUGAAGUUUCCUGGGUAAGUUAUAUCACGUUGCCGAUAUCUAAACAUCUUGACAGCAUUUCCAAUAUCCAGUGGACAUCCCAUUUUAUUUGCUUCUAGUCACAUGUGAAUUUAACAUUUAUGUUCAGAUGUCCAUACUUCUUGACACACAAAUGUGAACAUUAGUGACCUUGCUGUGCAGUGGUGGGCAGUGAAGUCAAAGAAGAAAAUCCUAGGUUAGUUGUACAGAGGAGGCCAGUCACUGAGCGCCAGAAGCAAUGGCAUUAGGUCACAGCUCAAUACCAAGUCAGAAAAUGUUCUUUUGUGUUUACAGUGGGUGCAGGGUGUUCUGGAAAAGUCACAUUACUUUUUUCCCUCUCAAAGUGUUUACAUCUGGAAAAAUUUGCCGUGUUUUAAUAAUGUAAAAUCUUAAUUAUUUUCUAAACAGCCCUGUUUCUCUCCUCUCAAUUUGGAGCCUUGUAUUUGUCCCACUGUGUGUCACAACCCCUUUGGCUUUUUUGGUGUCAAUCCCAUACCUAUUCUGGUGACAGGAGGACUUUUGCCAAAGUAGAAACUCAUGUAGUUCGAUACCGCCUGCUUGUUAUCUCUGUGGUAGUACCAUUCUGUCCCUAUCUAGUGAAGGUAUAUUGGAAUUUGUCCCUGGAAAGUCAGGCUCUAUAUCAGCAAUAGAUGAUUUAGAAGAAAGCCAUUCAAAGUGACACAGAGACUUUAGUUUAAUGAACUGUAUUUAUUGCCAGUUGUGGGAAUGUUGAUAUGUCAAGCAAUAGAUACGGGAAGAUCCUGAGUUAUCCAUUGGAAAUAACUAUUCCUUAAAAACAAAAGAAAACAAAACUUAUAAGGAGGGAAGAAGACAGUAAGUAAAGCACACGAGAGGGCAUGUUCACGUUUUUCCUAAAUUAUGGCAUCCAGAAUAUGAGGGAAACAGAACAGUUCUGUAUUGUGACAGGAAGACUGCAAAUGAAAUUGGCUUGUUCAUGAUUUUAGUCAUAUUUCCCAGAAUCCAAAUUCAAGGAGAAGUUUGUUCCCACCAUGUGGAUCUGCUUCCUUGUGUUGAGUUUUGUCUUCCUUGACAACCACACAGAAAGCACUCUGGCACAGGCUGGAUAGGGGUUGCGUGAUGCUCCUUGUCAGUCGUGUUGAGCACCCGGACGCCACUUCCCAUUCUGCCUCAGGGCAGGAUAGCAAGAGGUCAGCGCACAGCGUGGUGUGCAGGGAGGUGAGCUGGAAGUAUUAACCAGGCAACUUGGGCCGAAACUGUUCUGAGCAUGUGUCAGUGAUAUCUCAAGCACAUGAAAAACCAGCUUUACUGUCCCUUGAGAGGAGAUUAAUUUUUUUGUAUUUCUAGAGCAUUUACCAUUGUCAGGUGGACACAUAUCAUCCCUGUUUUUCAGCUGUAGAAACUGGAAUGCUGAAAGGUUAAGCAACGUUCACAAAGUUACAUGGUGAGUCAUCUUCUGAAUCAGGAAAUAAAUUGGUAGCUACGAUUUCCUCCGCCCUGAUUCCACCAGCCCGCAGGAGUCAUUUAACACUGUUUACAGAACUCUUUUUCUUUAUUCUCCUGCAAUGGGCACUGAACAGAUUUUCUGAGAUUUAAAAAUUAUGAAAUGUGGCAUGUUUUAGGGAGCAGUAGAAUUCAACCAACAACAUUAAUUCAUUCAACAAGUUUUAUUGAACAUUAAUUUUGUAUAGGAGCCAAAAGUUUUCAGUCCUAAUUUAAACUCUCCCCAUGAUUUGGAAAUAUGCACAUAAUGUUCUCUUCGCCUCCAGUAAAAUAGGAAUAAUUAUCCCUACCACAGAUUUCAUUAAAAAGUUAUGUGAUUAUCUUACAUGAUAUGUUUUCAGCUAAAUGGAUGAAUUACUGGAUACGAUUCUUUUCCAUGCUCACUGUCCCCUUUUCUAUUAGAACUUUGGUAAGUUUCUUACCAAAAAGUUUUAAAAAUAUUAUCUAAUUUCAUUGUAUAUGUUUACACUUGUCACAAUACUUCAGAGGGCUGUGCCACAUCGCUGUACUAGACGCUUUGAUCUAUAUUGUCAUAUUCCAUCCUUGUGACAACCACUAACUUCCAGGGAACUCUGAACAAGUCACCCUUUGCUGAGGUCCAGAUUUGGAAAUAUCUUCAGUGACAUCCUGUCAAUAGUAAGAAAAAAAUGAACUAAGUUAACGUUUUUUAAAAAGGCAUUAAAAGUCAUAAUUUAACAAAAAGAGUAUGACGAGCAUGAGACAUAUGGUAAAACAUAACAUCUCAUUUAAAAAAAACCCUACAUAUUAAUAUCUUCCUCUAGACUUUCCAUGUAACCUUUUCUGAAGAUGAUGAAAUGUCCUAUAGAUGGUGAAUUCUCAUUAUUCAUUCAUAAUUUAUUCUCAUUAUUCAUUAUACAUUGCAAUUGUGGAAUGUACAUUAUGCAUUAUAGUGUGUCCUGCAUAAUUUUCUCAAAUACUAAACCAUUGCUCCUAGGGGAGACACAGUUAGGUUCCUAUGAGCCUCAUCACAUUUUCAUGACAGAUUCAUACAUAACCUUGUUUUCUGUGUGUUUCUGUUUUAAAGGUAUCUCAUAUAUUAUUAUUGUUGAUUCAUUAAUAUUGAACUCACAACCCACAGCACUAUAACUCUUGUCUGAACAAGGCCUGUCUAACACACCUAUUUUCUCUCUAAGGCACAUCAUAGCCAUCUUGCGCUUGGCUUCAUUACUGUGCUUGGGCUCAUUUUAAACAUCGAACCACAACAAAAAUGCAAAAAAUGUGACACAAAAUAGAUCACAAAAAGCCACGUAUUUCCAGUAUGGGAGCUGAUACAAGAAGGCAGAGCAUACAUUUGGGAUACGUUUGAUGAGUGACGCAAAUCUGUCGCUGAUCUCCACGCAGCCAUGAAUGACCAUAAAACACUAUGGUGCCGCACUCUGUGAAGGCUCUGCGUGGAGCCCUCUUUCUCCCGGCAAUCAGGAGCUGUGGUCUUGCUAGAACGCACAGUAAAGAGCACGAGAAACUGCUAAGUAGAAGGUCUGUCCAUGCAGCCCUGCUCCUGGGGGGAGAGGGAAAUGGUGGGAAUGAAGAAAGAGUCAGCUGAUGAAGAACUACUUCUUCUGAAAUCAACAUUCAAAAAGGUCAAUCACUUGACGUGGCUUCUUACUGGAAACAUCAGCAGUGGAUUUCGUACACUUAGGGGCUGUGGUGAACAAAACAACACAAGAUUAAAUCAAGGGCAAGAGAAAAUGAUGCAAUCAAGAGAUGCAGAGGGGCCGGC